GACGAACGCUGGCGGCGUGCUUAACACAUGCAAGUCGAACGGAAAGGCCCUGCUUUUGUGGGGUGCUCGAGUGGCGAACGGGUGAGUAACACGUGAGUAACCUGCCCUUGACUUUGGGAUAACUUCAGGAAACUGGGGCUAAUACCGGAUAGGAGCUCCUGCUGCAUGGUGGGGGUUGGAAAGUUUCGGCGGUUGGGGAUGGACUCGCGGCUUAUCAGCUUGUUGGUGGGGUAGUGGCUUACCAAGGCUUUGACGGGUAGCCGGCCUGAGAGGGUGACCGGCCACAUUGGGACUGAGAUACGGCCCAGACUCCUACGGGAGGCAGCAGUGGGGAAUAUUGCACAAUGGGCGGAAGCCUGAUGCAGCAACGCCGCGUGCGGGAUGACGGCCUUCGGGUUGUAAACCGCUUUCGCCUGUGACGAGGCGUGAGUGACGGUAAUGGGUAAAGAAGCACCGGCGAAAUACGU
rnacentral:rRNA from 1 species